UUCCCCGAAUUUUAUGUAAAAAAAUUUAUUCAAAUUUGAAAACUCAAUGAAAUUCGGAAAGAAACCACAAAUAUUAAUGUGUUCUCUCCCAUUUUCUAGAAACCCUGAUCUCGACAGCCGCUUAACCACCAUCGCACAUCCAUCUUCGUCUCUCCGUCACCACUGUUUACUAUCAUCAUAUCUCUCCUUAAUUGUUCAAUAGGUUGUUCUUCUGGAAACCUUGAAGGAGUAUGUGGAACCGAUUAGCAAAAACGUUCUCUUUUCCAUCAUUCCUACAACCAAGGCCAACACACCAUCAUCUGACCACUAGCUCACCUCCAGCAACCCUAUCUGUCACAACCAUCGCACCUCCAUAAACCAUAACUACCAACGACGAAACUUAUUCCCACCCUACUUCUUUCUUUAGAAACCCUAAAUCCUAUCCCUCUCUUUCAUGCUUGUCGACCUCCGCCUGUGAUUCUCUCUACUGCAAUCGAAGUAGCCAAAUAGGUCUUCAGUGACGCGAAUCUAAAACCUAAUAUCCAUGUUCUUCAUAAAAUAUAGUAUGUAAAUGUACAUAGAGAUGGUGGAGUAACCUUCACACACCCACUGACAUGGGUGUCACCACCAGAAAACGAUGGUGGUGCUACCUUUUAUCUACUUAAGAAAACAUUUACCAGGUGCCAUAAAUGGUUUUUCCAGAUUCCAGUUUAAUGGCAUACAAUUCUUAAAAAAGAUGGCAAUUACUAUCUUGUUGUUCCAUAUAGAUCAAGUGCUUUACAUGAAUUUGAUGUUCCGCAAACACUCCUGCUACUCUAUAUCGACUCAAAAUAGGUAAAACACCCUGAUCGCCCUUUCUGUAUAUCUUUAUAUGUGUGUGUUUGAAAAAACAGAAUGAAACCUCUUUGAUUUCGAAUUUCACGAAUUGCACAAUAGCUUUUUUUCCCAAGGGCUUUGCUGAUCUGGUUCAUAGAGCAUUCAAGCUCGGAUUUCUUGUUUUCCAUAUUUCAAGUUUCAAAUUGAUUCCACUCUCCUAGGAUUUUUUAUGGAGGUAUGCAUGUUGAUAAAGUAUGUGAUUCCUAAUGUCCGAUAUGAUCCUACACAGUAUGUGAUCUAUGUUUUUUCUAUAUUUUUGAUGCAAAGAAGAGAAACCCAAAGAAGAAAGAAGGGAAAUGAUAAGAAAAUUAUUGUACAUUUAUCUAUUUUAAAAAACCGUGGCUGGUUUUUUUAUCAAUAAAGUUAUCCAUGAUUUUCUUUACCAACUUUGGAGGUUUCUUGGUUUUAGUUUUUAUGUUAGUUUUACUCACUCCUAAUAUGUACCUUUUUUAUUAUCACUUGAAUAAUGUUCCUUGUCUUUAUUAAUAUUUACAUUGCUGAGAAACAUCAAUGCUAAUGUUGUUGGAAACAAAAACGACCGAAAAGAGGUAAUUAUUGUCUUUCUAGACCACAAUAUCAUGACAUUGCAUUAAAAAGAAGAAAAUAUUGUCAUUCUUUCAAUGUUGGCAUGUAUUGUCUUUGUUACACCAGUAGUUAUGAAGUAGUGAUGGGAGCAGCCAACCAUAUAUUGUAGUAGAAAAUAGAAUUCAGUUUCGAUAGAGUUUGUGUUUUCUGUGGGUGGAGCCAACUAAGAAUAGCUACCACUAUACUGCUUUUGAGCUUAGCAAAGAAUAUGUUUUUUUUAAGGCAAAACAAACAACAGAAUAAAUAAAAGCCAGCUAAGGGCAGAACAUAGUAAAGACAACAAAAACACCAACAACACUAAGCCCAAAGAAAAGGAAAACAUAGUUAUAGAGAACCAAUAGUUCUGAAACACCAAACCAAAGCGAGGGUAAAAAGGACCAGCACCAGACAUACACAAGCCACAGGCAACACAAAUCACCACCAAUCCCAAACCAUCAGAGAUCAACAGUAAAAGGCGCUAAGGGGAAAAUCUGAACAAUGCAAAGGGGCAAGACAGUAAAAAAAACCAACAUGACAGCAAUCCUAAUAGUAACUAGGGGCAAAAUGGAAAAAAGCAAAGCAAGAAACAGCAACAUUGGGGCAAAAACUGACAAACAAAUCGAGGGAGCCAAAGAACAGCACAUGUAGUAACAGAUGCAAACACCUUAACUGUAAAGAGAGCACCAGCUAGCCAGGAAAAGAAACCAAAGAAACACACGCCAAAAGACAACCCACGCAAGAAACCCCCAACAACACUGAAAAAAUAUGUAUUUUCCUUUCUUGGGGACUGGUAAUAAGUUUAUUAUUAUUAUUAUUAUUUAAAACCUUUUUUUAUUUGCAUCUCUGUUUGCUUGUAACUUCAUAAUGCUUUCUUCGAUAAUCAAUAACUAGAAUGCUUUUUUCAACAUUUUUG